ACUGAACGCUGGCGGCAGGCCUAACACAUGCAAGUCGAACGAGGGGCGGACGGGAGAGAAAUGUCUGGGAAACUGCCUGAUGGAGGGGGAUAACUACUGGAAACGGUAGUAAUUACGGCAUACCAUCAGCUGUGCCCAGCUGGGAUGAGCUAGUUGGUGGGGUAACGGCUCACCAGGGCGACGAUCCCGUGCUGGUCUGAGAGGAUGACCAGCCACACUGUGACUGAGACACGGUCCAGACUCCUACGGGAGGCAGCAGUGGGGAAUAUUGCACAAUGGGCGCAAGCCUGAUGGAGCCAUGCCGCGUGUAUGAAGAAGGCCUUCGGGUUGUAAAGUACUUUCAGCGGGGAGGCGUUACCCGCAGAAGAAGCACCGGCUAACUCCGUGCCAGCAGCCGCGGUAAUAC
rnacentral:rRNA from 1 species